GACGAACGCUGGCGGCGUGCUUAACACAUGCAAGUCGAACGGAAAGGCCCUGCUUUUGUGGGGUGCUCGAGUGGCGAACGGGUGAGUAACACGUGAGUAACCUGCCCUUGACUUUGGGAUAACUUCAGGAAACUGGGGCUAAUACCGGAUAGGAGCUCCUGCUGCAUGGUGGGGGUUGGAAAGUUUCGGCGGUUGGGGAUGGACUCGCGGCUUAUCAGCCUGUUGGUGGGGUAGUGGCUUACCAAGGCUUUGACGGGUAGCCGGCCUGAGAGGGUGACCGGCCACAUUGGGACUGAGAUACGGCCCAGACUCCUACGGGAGGCAGCAGUGGGGAAUAUGGCACAAUGGGCGGAAGCCUGAUGCAGCAACGCCGCGGGCGGGAUGACGGCCUUCGGGUUGUAAACCGCUUUCGCCUGUGACGAAGCGUGAGUGACGGUAAUGGGUAAAGAAGCACCGGCUAACUACGUG
rnacentral:rRNA from 1 species